CAUAUUAAUAGUAUAUAAUGUCGAAUAUAUCCUAUUAAUAUUAGUACUUAAUAUGAAAAGUGUAGUAAAUGCUACCGCGGUCCCGCCACUGUGAAGGGGAGUCCAUUCAAUAUGUCACUGAGUUAUAUAACUUGGGAAGGCGAGUGUAACAAUGAACCGAAGCCAGGAGAACUGCCUUGACGAUAUUACCCAG
rnacentral:ncRNA from 2 species